UACGGGGGGGGCAAGCGUUGUUCGGAAUUACUGGGCGUAAAGGGCUCGUAGGUGGCCAACUAAGUCAGACGUGAAAUCCCUCGGCUUAACCGGGGAACUGCGUCUGAUACUGGAUGGCUUGAGUGUGGGAGAGGGAUGCGGAAUUCCAGGUGUAGCGGUGAAAUGCGUAGAUAUCUGGAGGAACACCGGUGGCGAAGGCGGGUCUCUGGGCCGGAACUGACGCUAAGGAGCGAAAGCGUGGGGAGCGAACAGG
rnacentral:rRNA from 1 species